UACGAAGGGGGCUAGCGUUGCUCGGAAUCACUGGGAGUAAAGCGCACGUAGGCGGAUCUUUAAGUCAGGGGUGAAAUCCUGGAGCUCAACUCCAGAACUGCCUUUGAUACUGGGGAUCUCGAGUCCGGGAGAGGUGAGUGGAACUGCGAGUGUAGAGGUGAAAUUCGUAGAUAUUCGCAAGAACACCAGUGGCGAAGGCGGCUCACUGGCCCGGUACUGACGCUGAGGUGCGAAAGCGUGGGGAGCAAACAGG
rnacentral:rRNA from 1 species